GAUGAAGAACGCAGCGAAAUGCGAUAAGUAAUGUGAAUUGCAGAAUUCAGUGAAUCAUCGAAUCUUUGAUCGCACAUUGCGCCCGCUAGUAUUCUGGCGGGCAUGCCUGUCCGAGCGUCAUUUCAACCCUCAAGCCCCCGGGCUUGGUGUUGGGGAUCGGCGAGCCUCCGCGCCCGCCGUCCCCUAAAUCUAGUGGCGGUCUCGCUGUAGCUUCCUCUGCGUAGUAGCACACCUCGCACUGGGAAACAGCGCGGCCACGCCGUUAAACCCCCAACUUCUGAACGUUUGACCUCGGAUCAGGUAGGAAUACCCGCUGAACUUAAGCAUAUCAAUAAGCGGAGGA
rnacentral:misc_RNA from 1 species